rnacentral:rRNA from 1 species
AUACGGAGGGUGCAAGCGUUAAUCGGAAUUACUGGGCGUAAAGCGAGUGUAGGCGGCUACCUAAGUCGGAUGUGAAAGCCCUGGGCUCAACCUGGGAAUUGCAUUCGAAACUGAGUAGCUAGAGUCUGAUAGAGGGAAGUGGAAUUCCGGGUGUAGCGGUGAAAUGCGUAGAUAUCCGGAGGAACACCAGUGGCGAAGGCGGCUUCCUGGAUCAAGACUGACGCUGAGGCUCGAAAGCGUGGGGAGCAAACAGGAUUAGAAACCCCAGUAGUCC